CUACAGGGGUUUCUAAUCCGGUUCGCUCCCCACACUUUCGCGCCUCAGCGUCACCUUCUGUCCAAGAACCUGCCUUCGCCAUGGGUGUUCCUCCUGGUAUCUACGCAUUCCACCGCUACACCAGGAAUUCCGGUUCUCUCUCCAGAGGUCAAGCUUGCCAGUAUCCAGUCCACGCCCGCAGUUGAGCUGCGGUCUUUAAAACCAGACUUAACAAGCCGCCUACACGCCCUUUACGCCCAGUGAUUCCGGGUAACGCUUGCACCCUCCGUAUUACCGCGGCUGCUGGCAC
rnacentral:rRNA from 1 species